rnacentral:rRNA from 1 species
CGGGCCUUGUACACACCGCCCGUCACACCAUGGGAGUGGGUUCUACCAGAAGGCGGUAGAUUAACCCGGAAACGGGGAGGUCGCCGACCACGGUAAGAUUCAUGACUGGGGUG